GAGUUGAAAUGCAAGAGGCGCGCUCCAACUACUCGACCAGCACACCGAGACAAGGGACCAUUUGGAUUUUUGCUGUUGACCAGAAGUCAUCACAAAAAAGUUUGCUUUCACAAAACUUCCGUCUUUCCUGCUGACCUGCUUUGAGAUGACGUCCCACCCGACUUCGAACAAGAUGGUGUUGGAGGCGGUGGAGUCUUUGAACGAUGGGCGACAAGGAUCGUCCCUCCAAGCAAUCAAGAAGUUUAUUUCCGAAGUCUACGAGGUGGACAUGGGGAAGAUGGCGCCCCACAUCCGGAAGGCCGUGAAGAAGCAUGUGGAGGAUGGGAACUUGAUCCAGACAAAGGGUAAAGGUGCCUCUGGAUCAUUCAGGCUUUCUUCCAAGGCUCCAUCGUCUUCUGCUGCUGCUGCUGCUGCCGGUGGACCUGGAAAGAAAAUAAAGGUUAAGGCGCCUUCCAAGAAGAAAUAGCUUGUCGGGUUGCUGCCCACAUGUCCUCUUUCAAUUUCUAUCUUUAUGAUCUUCUAAUAUCUUCCCUUUUGGACAUGAAAUAAAUUUCAUCGGAGUAUAACUCGAUUCUAGAGGAAUAUCGUAUAUUUAUAUAUGUAUGUAUCAAUGUGCAUAUUCAGUUAAUCAGUAAAGUAUAUAUAAAUAAAAAUUUGAGCUAAUUUUCAGUUAAUUUUUUUUGUCUAGCCACCUAUGCGCGUCGUACCUAAUUUUUAUACUUCAAUGUAGUCAAUAAUCUUUUUUAUUUCAAUUUAAUUCCUUCUACUUGUUUAGCGUACUGCAGUUAGAGGAAAUGUAAUAUGUGUUUCAAUUUCAAUUUAGUCUUUCUUCUAAAGGGAAAUAGUCGAAUUAGCAUUUGAGCACAACAGAUAUAGUUUUGAAAGAUUACAUUAUGUAUAUUUGAAUAUAAAAUGACUUUAUUUUCCAUUAAAUUCACAAAACAUUACAUUUUAGCUCAUUUCUGAAAGCGAUAUGUAUGGAAAAUCAGUCAUGUACUUUAAGCUAAAAACAAUAAAUAUUUAGUACUUUUAA